UACGUAGGGUGCAAGCGUUGUCCGGAUUUACUGGGCGUAAAGAGCGUGUAGGUGGCCAAACAGGUCCGUUGUGAAAACUGGAGGCUUAACUUCCAGACGUCGACGGAAACCGUGUGGCUAGAGUCCGGAAGAGGAGAGUGGAAUUCCUGGUGUAGCGGUGAAAUGCGCAGAUAUCAGGAAGAACACCAAUGGCGAAGGCAGCUCUCUGGGACGGUACUGACGCUGAGACGCGAAAGCGUGGGGAGCGAACAGG
rnacentral:rRNA from 1 species